CCUCGGAAUGGGAAGAAAGCAAGAGGUCUCCAUAUUGGAAGAAGAAAAACGUCUUUUCUUUCUUAAUGCUGCUCUAACAUGGAGAAAAUGUGGUGGGCUGGAGGGAACGCUCUUCCCUGAUGUUUUGGAACAUCAAACCGUUCCAGAAAAGCAGUGAGAGAAGUAACUGUGAGGGAACCAGGCUGGCUCUGAAGGCUGGAGAGCGGAAGGUGGGCGGACCUGCCUUGCCAGGGUGGUGAUCCAAAAACGGGGCUUUCCAUUUCUGAAUUAUUUUUAAAAAGGCAAACAGCUAUCGAAAUUGACAAAAACUCAAUCUAUAGAAAGCACAUAUCCAAUUACCUUUCAUAGCAGCUCUCAGGGUCGUGAUGUCUUUGUACAGGGAUGUACAGAAUGGCAAGAAUUCCUUCUUUAGCACCAUGGCUUCGAUCCGAAGUGAAUAGCUGAGAAACGGCAAGAAGGGUUUUGCUGUUUAACCUAAGCUAACAGCUGGCUUUUGAUGUACUCGCCUCAGCCUUCUGGAUGGUAGGAUUACAGAUUCGGGUCAUUUUGCCUGGCUUGUUCUCAGCCCUCAACUCCAGUGUUGAGGGCCUGAACAUGGGUAGCUGUUCCACUGGAAUAUGACCCAGCCUGGACUACAAUAUUGGAGUGAGUGAAUACAGGUUGGAUCUCCAGUGGGUAGUAAGAAGGAUAAAAGCUUCAACUGAACAAUAAAUGUUAAGAUGACUGACAAAUAUGGGGGUGGAUGCUUGCAGCCAACCAUUGAACUGCGAACAGGGACCCCAAUGGGAGAGUUAGCGAAAGGACUGAAGGAGCUGAAGAGGUUUGCAACCACAUUGGAAGAACAACAAUAUCGACCAACCAUAGCUCCCAGGGACUAAACCACCAUCCCAAGAGUACAGAGGGAUGGACUUAUGGCUCCAGCUGCAUAUGUAGCAGAGGUUGACCUUGUUGGGCAUCAGUGGGAGGAGAGGCCCUUGGUCUUGUCAAGGCUUGAUGCCCCAGUGUAGGGAAUGUCAGGGCAGGGAGGUGGGAG